GACGUAGGGUGCGAGCGUUGUCCGGAUUUAUUGGGCGUAAAGAGCUCGUAGGCGGCUCGUCGCGUCGACCGUGAAAACCCGCAGCUUAACUGCGGGCUUGCGGUUGAUACGGGCGGGCUAGAGUUCGGUAGGGGAGACUGGAAUUCCUGGUGUAGCGGUGAAAUGCGCAGAUAUCAGGAGGAACACCGGUGGCGAAGGCGGGUCUCUGGGCCGAUACUGACGCUGAGGAGCGAAAGCCAGGGGAGCAAACGGG
rnacentral:rRNA from 1 species